AUUGAACGCUGGCGGCAUGCUUUACACAUGCAAGUCGAACGGCAGCGCGGGCUUCGGCCUGGCGGCGAGUGGCGAACGGGUGAGUAAUGCAUCGGAACGUGCCCAGGAGUGGGGGAUAGCCCGGCGAAAGCCGGAUUAAUACCGCAUACGACCUGAGGGUGAAAGCGGGGGACCGAAAGGCCUCGCGCUAUUGGAGCGGCCGAUGUCGGAUUAGCGAGUUGGUGGGGUAAAGGCUUACCAAGGCGACGAUCCGUAGCUGGUCUGAGAGGACGACCAGCCACACUGGGACUGAGACACGGCCCAGACUCCUACGGGAGGCAGCAGUGGGGAAUUUUGGACAAUGGGGGCAACCCUGAUCCAGCCAUGCCGCGUGCGGGAAGAAGGCCUUCGGGUUGUAAACCGCUUUUGUUCGGGAAGAAAUCCUCUGGGCUAAUACCCCGGGGGGAUGACGGUACCGGAAGAAUAAGCACCGGCUAACUACGUG
rnacentral:rRNA from 1 species